UCCCGACAGCACAGACUCCUGAGCUGGACUGCCCGAGUUCAAAUAUUGUUUUUUCUCACUAGCCUAAACAGAUGGACCGAUUUAAAAUGAAGACUGAAGCUGCACAGAGGCAAAGAUUUUGCUGUGUUCACCCAUGAACAUGCCUGGCACAUUGCAGGUGCACGGACAGAAAUUUGGAAACAGACACAAAGAAGCAUGCCAUAUGAUGAUGAAGGCAGAGAUUGGAGUGAUAUUGCUACAACCCAAGGGAACAUUAAGAAUUAUUAGCAA
rnacentral:lncRNA from 10 species